rnacentral:rRNA from 1 species
UGGGGAAUAUUGGACAAUGGGGGCAACCCUGAUCCAGCCAUGCCGCGUGUGUGAAGAAGGCCUUUUGGUUGUAAAGCACUUUAAGCAGGGAGGAGAGGCUAAUGGUUAAUACCCAUUAGAUUAGACGUUACCUGCAGAAUAAGCACCGGCUAACUCUGUGCCAGCAGCCGCGGUAAUACAGAGGGUGCGAGCGUUAAUCGGAAUUACUGGGCGUAAAGCGAGUGUAGGUGGCUCAUUAAGUCACAUGUGAAAUCCCCGGGCUUAACCUGGGAACUGCAUGUGAUACUGGUGGUGCUAGAAUAUGUGAGAGGGAAGUAGAAUUCCAGGUGUAGCGGUGAAAUGCGUAGAGAUCUGGAGGAAUACCGAUGGCGAAGGCAGCUUCCUGGCAUAAUAUUGACACUGAGAUUCGAAAGCGUGGGUAGCAAACAGGAUUAGAUACCCUGGUAGUCCACGCCGUAAACGAUGUCUACUAGCCGUUGGGGUCCUUGAGACUUUAGUGGCGCAGUUAACGCGAUAAGUAGACCGCCUGGGGAGUACGGCCGCAAGGUUAAAACUUAAAGGAAUUG